rnacentral:rRNA from 1 species
GACGAACGCUGGCGGCGUGCUUAACACAUGCAAGUCGAACGGAGUGGCGAACGGGUGAGUAACACGUGGGUGACCUGCCCUGCACUUCGGGCUAAGCCUGGGAAACUGGGUCUAAUACCGGAUAGUGUGGGAUGGGCCAGCGGCCUAUAAGCUUGUUGGUGGGGGAAUGGCCUACCAAGGCGGCGACGGGUAGCCGGCCUGAGAGGGUGGACGGCAACAUUGGGGCUGAGACACGGCCCAGACUCCUACGGGAGGCAGCAGUGGGGAAUAUUGCACAAUGGGCGGAAGCCUGAUGCAGCGACGCCGCGUGGGGGAUGAAGGCUUUCGGGUUGUAAACCUCUUUCGCUAUCGAAAGGGUAGGUGGAGAAGAAGCGCCGGCUAACUACGUGCCAGAAGCCGCGGUAAUUC